rnacentral:rRNA from 1 species
UACGUAGGGUGCGAGCGUUAUUCGGAAUUACUGGGCUUAAAGGGUGCGUAGGCGGCCCGGAAAGUUGGGUGUGAAAUACCUCGGCUCAACCGAGGAAUUGCGCUCAAAACUACCGGGCUUGAGGAAGAUAGAGGUGAGCGGAACUUAGGGUGGAGCGGUGAAAUGCGUUGAUAUCCUAAGGAACACCGGUAGCGAAAGCGGCUCACUGGGUCUUUUCUGACGCUGAGGCACGAAAGCUAGGGGAGCGAAGAGG